UCCAUUUGUCAUCAUCAGAGCACAGAUGUGCCAACUCCUGGAGAAGCUCAACAACGAAUUGACUUGUGUCGCUUAAGACAGCAACGGCUUUUUCACGCUGAAUUCAACCUUGAUGAAUAAACAAGCUCAACAGAGAACCUGACGCACUCAUCAUUUGAAUCGAGUUUGGCUGACUGAACCAUCACAAUUUGAAUCUUUCUAGUCUUGUUUUUAGUUUGAAAUAAUGCAGAGAUUUGCCUGAAAGCUCAGCACAGAGGACACUCCAAUGUCCUGAGAUUUGAUUCACAUGUGGAAAAAGACCAUGCAAAUGCUAUGUUAUCUGAAAAUCAAACCUUGAGGACAAACAAUGACAAAAGGCAUACAUGGACUUGGUGAAAAGGAUGCUGUGAAAUUGAUUUUUUUCAGUUCUCUCAAGGAGGCAAACCUUUUUUUGGGGGGCCUAAAAAGGCACUAACUGGAUCAGAGGUUUCCACCAUGAUUUCAGUGUGUUUUUAGUCACUAUUGUAAAACAAACACUUUGAGUUGUUUUGUCAGAGCAGUCCUUAACUCCACCGAGAUGACAGUGAUGGAUGACUCAUCUGACAGUGCUUUCAUUGCUCAGUGGAUUGCUACCUUCUGUGUGGUGUUUUGAAUACUUCAUUUACUUAAGUGCAUAUUAAAGUGGAAUAAAGAGUUUACACUUAGCACCGCUCUCUCCCACCUGCUGACUGACACUGGAGCAGCUCACUCAUCUAUAAAUGUCACUUGCUUUUCCUUUUUGUGUUGAACAGAAUUUUAAACGUUUAAGUGGUGCAGCUCAUAAUUUUGAUGUAGUUUCACUUAGUUAUCAUUAUCAUAAACUAUUGCUGGUAAAGUGUUCUUUAAAGUAAUACUUUGUCACUACUGCUGAAAUGAUGUGUAUACCCAUAAGCCUACACCAAUAUGUAGCUGGAUUUAGUCUGACCAUUUGUUUUGACAUUUAUCCAUGCAAUUAUUGACAUUAUAAUAACACAAAUGACAUCCAAUAAAGCAAAUGAAUCUGCCUGUUA